AUCUUUCUAGUAUAUUUAGUACCAGUGACUUCCAAUCACUUGGGCCCGGUUAAAAUCCUGGGAAAGAUA
rnacentral:tRNA from 1 species